CGUGUAGGCGGCCACCGCAAGUCGACUGUGAAAUCUCCGGGCUUAACUCGGAAAGGUCAGCCGAUACUGCGGGGCUAGAGUGCAGAAGGGGCAACUGGAAUUCUCGGUGUAGCGGUGAAAUGCGUAGAUAUCGAGAGGAACACCUGCGGCGAAGGCAGCAGAUUGGGCCGGUACUGACGCUCAGGCACGAAAGCAUGGGGAUCAAACA
rnacentral:rRNA from 1 species